rnacentral:rRNA from 1 species
GUGACCCCAGGACGGGCGAGGCCACCCGCCGAGUUUAAGCAUAUCAAUAAGCGGAG